UGGGACCCUUGAGUCCGCAGGCCGACGCUCUAUCCACUGAGACAAACCAGUUAGGGCUCUCGUAAUAACUCUUAAAGAAGAUGCUUCUUUUUCUUUCCUGGGAGUUCCAGGAAAAGUUCCAAGACGGGUUCUUACUGGACUGAUGGGGUUCAAUGGUCACCCUUGAUCCAUUUACUGUGGCCAGAGGAAUGGAACAACUUGGCUGGUCAUGCCCAAGAAACGUGCCCACCCCUGAGACUGGGAGGCGGUGACUGUCCUACUCAAUCCACGGGGAAUAGUGUAUACAAGGGAUGGUUUUCCAAAGGAAAAUAAUUCUGGGCAUGUUAAACCUACUCAAGCCCACCCGUGCCAGCCAGUGGAGCAGUAUGCCCAUAAUUGAGAGGCAUCAAUCGGGAUGACCACAAAAAGGUGAAUUUUUAAAAGUGUACGUAGAGUUGAUAGGGAAAGGAACAUUGCUCCCAUUUAACAAGAGUUAUUCCCAGGCUUGACCUAAUUUAAGAGGAAAUAAAGAGAAGCUUGGUAACUUGAAUGCUUUUUGUCCAAAUUCAUGCAGAAACGACGAUAUGGCUUCUAAGCUCUGUUUGGUUUCAGCAGGUCAGUCCACCCGGGAUUUGGGCAGCUGCUACCUUGUAGCCAGGACUCCCCCUUGAGAUUGGAGGGGCCCGUUGGGCCUUGAGCUGCUGCCCGCAGAUUUGAGAUCACUUUUUAUGAUACUAAUCAAAUGGCUACAGCUUAAAGCUUCUCUACAGUAGAAAAACUUCGAAAUUCAAUCUGCUCUUGCAAGAUUGGAAAGCCACAGAAAACCUAAGUAAGAGGGAGAGGUUAUUUUUAGAUGUAGCGUUAACAAUUAACUAUUUAGUCUUGGGCUGUUAAUGUAUUCGAAAUUUUUCAGGACAGACUUCUUUGGGGUUGUACUUGGUCUGAUCUCACACCCUAAAAAGAAACCAGCUGAGAGAGAGAGAGAGAGAGAGAGAGAGAGAGAGAGAGAGAGAGAGAGAGAGAGAGAGAGUGUCCCAGGGACAAAUGUGGGCUCUGUUAGCCUCGUUCUAGGCAGGGCUACUAUUUCCCUUGGUUUGCUUAGUAACCAUUCUGCCAACUAUCUCUCCCUCUUUUACAGCCUUCUAUCUAAUUAAUACUUCGCUUACACAGAAAGAAACUUCUUUAGUUAAACAUGGCAUUUCAUUCAUCUAGCAUUCUGCUAAAAAUCACAUUUUAACAAGACUUUGCAUCUCCUAGCCUCUUUUAAAAGUCAUUUAUCUUUAAAGGGGCUUGUCCCUUCUCGCCUCUGAGUAGUUAGAACGCACCAACCAUAGACCACAAUAGUUUUUAUGCAGCUACUCGGUGGUUUAAUCACAAUGCAAAAGCAACAUUGCUAAUCUGGACAAUCUACAUGGAUGACAACUCAUGGAAAUAGCUAUUAAUUAACACCAUAAUUGUCACUUACACGUUGCCAACAUUAAAAUAGGCAAUUGUUACUUCUAUGAGGCUUUGUACUUUUCCCCUUCUUCUCUUCACAGGGCUUAAAUAUAGGGCAGGGGCCAAGAUUGAAACGUUUAAACUGAUGACCAAGUUCAUUGUUGGUUUAAUCAUUAGAUCAUCUUUCCUUUGGGUUGUACAGAAAUGAAAACAGUGGUGUUCGUCAUAAAAUUUCACUGCAGGCGUGGUGGGUCAACUGUGCUUUGGCUCUGAAAUCUACAGCAUCAAAUGUGUUGCCAGGUCUAUAUUCUCUUUAAUAGGGGCCAUUGUAGACAGAGUGUGACAUGUGAGUUCUCUCCUAUUUUGUUCCAUCAAGAUCGUGUCAAAGAAAAGCCAGCCUCUACAUGAAGGUAAAGUCCAUUUUUGCUAAAGCAGCUGAAAAGAAUUUAGUCCAGCAUCAUCAAGAUAAUAGCCUCAGUGUCCUCCUCUCUACGCUGUUUCAACAUAGCACACCCCACCUCCCGCUUUUGUGAGUGUGUGGCCAAAAGUACAGAAGGAAAAGAAUCCGAUUCCGUGGAGGAAGGGCAUUGUGAAGAUCAAAAGUGCCACGACCACCGUCCGUGUUGCAUAGCUCUCACCUGGCAGAAGACAGGCAUCAGGUGGAAAGCAUUUCCUGGUCAUGCAGCAACUACAUGAACUGCCUAAAGCCUGGCCAGCAUGGCUCAGUGGUUGACCUAAGAACCAAGAGGUCACAGUUCGAGUCCCAAUCAGGGCACAUGCCUGGGAAUCAAUGAUUUUCUCUCAUUAUUGAUGUUUCUAUCUCUUUCUUCCUCUCCCUUCCUCUCUGAAAUCAAUAUAUAUAUAUAUUGAUCAUAUUAUAUGUAUUUGUAUUAUAUAAAGAACUGCAAAAAAGCCACAAUUCCAACUCACAAUAGGGCACAAGUCACUACAUGGUGCACAAUCACACUCCAUGAAUCAAGCCCUGGAACUAGCUAAAAUAGGAACUAGGACAUAAAUCCACGGGCUCUUUGGCAUUGGGACAAUUCAUCUGUGUGUCAUCAGGUGGUACUUCUCCAUUUGAAGACAAAGUUUGACUUGGAACUUGCAAGGAGCCCACUCCCUCUUGGGGGAUCAGUGGAAUGGAGUGGAGAGAAAACAGGCUUUCCAGCCAGACCCCAGGAUUGGAACAUCAGUGCUGUGAGUUACUACUAGAAUUGGCCAGGUUCCUUUCUUGGAUCUUUUUUAAAAUUUUUUAUCUUCACUUGAGGACAUGUUGUUUUUUAAAUUGAUUUUUAGAGAGAGAACGCGAUAGAGAAACAUCGAUCUGUUGCCUCUUGCACAUGCCAUGACCAGGGAUAGAACCCGCAAACUUUUGGUGUAUGGGAUGAUGCACCAACCAGCUGAGCCACUCUGCUAGGGCCUUUCUUGGAUCUUUAAUUUUUUACCUCUAAAGUGAUGAGAGCAAUUCCAUCUUUCAGGGGUAUGGAGGAUUAAGUAUGCUGGUACAUGUAAAGUAUGAGGUACAUUGUUGGUGCUUACACCAGGUGUCUGGCUACUAUUAACUUAAAGAAACAACAACAAAGACACUUUUACCUAAAAGUAUUUGUUAAUGGAAUAGAUUUGCUCUUAUGAUCUUAAUGAAAGGGCAUUUAAAUUCUUUAAAAAAUUUUUAAAAAGUCAUCAAUUAGUGUUUACCUUUUCUUUAUUAUUUUUAAACUUUAUAUCUAUUGUUUACACUAUUACAGAUGUCCCCAUUCCCCACCCCCUUUGCCCACCUCAGUGUUUACGCUUUAAAAGCCGCUUUUAAAAUCCAGUGGGCUGUGAUUAUUUCUGUACAUGAUAACUUCAUUAAUUACCAACUUCUGGAUCAGGCUUUUCUGUGCAGCUCGGUAGGUGCUGUUUGUAAGUGAGCCAGCUUUGCAAAUAAACCGACAUGUACAGGUGGCAUUUAAUAAUAGUAUAGCACACAUCCUUUGUCUUCCCGCGUGGUUACAUCAUUUGCUGUUGAUAGUAUAGCCAGCAUUCCUGUGAUACUCAUUAGCAAUCAUGUCUUGCUCGGAGGAGAUAUGGUUCCUCUCUUCAUGCCCAUUGGCUUAGGUCAUGGGGGGCACUUUUUAGGUGCCAAGGAACAGGGUUUCCAAUUAUUUAAUGUUUUGCAUAUUUUCCUUCUCUAAAUGCCUCCCUUACGCCAGCCCACCCUUGUGCUUGUCACUGGCUGCUUCGGUGAUCCUAGACGUGUGCCUGCUUCUCCAGCCGUGCGGGAGACACGCUUCACCUUGGGGCCCCGCCCUUCAAAGGUUGCGUUUGCUGCACGAAGAACAGUUGACUCUGCCCAUAGGGAACGUCUCAUUGCACCCCUUUUCCACGCCAUCUGUCUGACCUGGACCCAUUCCAAACGCUCCGGCUUUGCUGGCAGAAUGAUCUUCCUGCUACAGAAGUUUUGUAAUCUACUAAUUGACAGGUAUGAGACAGAUGGCAAAGAAGGAGUUUGCUUUAUUGAACAAGAUGCAGUCUCGGGCAUGGCCGAUCUCCCUGAAUGGUUAAUACCUUCAGUAAUCAUUCUGUCUACAGGAGUCCUGAGGCCACAGCACCUCCUCGGUGGCUUGGUGGCUUGAUUGCUCUCCCAGGCUGUGACAUCUUGCUUUCCACAUGUGUCCAGUUGCAUGGAUUCCUGCUUUAUAUCAUCCAGGGAAGAAGAACAUGGCAAAGCUGGCGCUUCUUGUGCUCCUUGGAUGAGCUCCUCGUCCACCCAGAUGCUGCAAGAGUUUCAUUUGACUGCGUCACCAAGGAUUUUUGAUAAAUGUUCACAGCACAGUAUCUAAAUGCAACUCGAGGAAAUAAGUUCUGCCAGCGACCAGGACAACACCACCCAGAUUCUUUUGUUUGGCUUGAUCCGCCUGAGGUCUUCCCCGUUUCAGAUGAUGGCAACUCCAACUUUCCAGUGACUCAGGCAAAACACCCUGGAGUCAUUCCACAUUCAACUUGGCUCUACCUUCACUCCAUAUCCAGCAGCCAGCCUCUCCUCCCCACAGCCCUGCAUCGCCCAUCUCCAGGUCCCUGGGCUGGACUCUCUCAGCAGCUCCGAGGGGCUCUCCCUGCUUCUGCCUCUCCUUGACCCAGCAGCCAGAGUGACCCUGUUACAACAUAAGUCAGACCACAUCACGCCUCUGCUGUAAACCCUCUUUGCUUUGCCAACUCGCUCAUGGUAAAAGCAGAAAUUCUAACUGAGUCCUGUAAGGCCCACUAGCAUCUGGCCUUGUGUGACUCUGACCAACUCUCCUACUCCUCUUGUUCAUUCCUCUCGGGUCGUACAGGAAUCCUUGUUCUUUAAGCAAGCCGGCCUCACUCCUGACCCAGGGCCCGGCCCUGGCUGUUAUUCUGUCUGCAACGCUCUUCCAUGCAGAGACCUGUCUAGCUUGCUCUGUCAUCUCCUUUGGGUCUUGACUUAAUGUCACUUCUCAGAGAGGCCUACAGGGCUCCACGAUCUAAAAGUGCAAACUACAGCCCCAGCUGCAAGGAGCAUUCACCACGGCCUGCAGGCUGGGCACAGCCUUGGUGCCAGCCACGCCCUGCCCACUCUUGGCCCCCAGGGCUGGAGGGUAGGAGCUGUCCAGAAGCUGUGUACCUGCCCCAAUCUGUUCUUGGUGCAUAAAUUCAUAGAGAAACAUGGAUAACAACAGAAAGUGGUAUUGAGCAGUGGGAGUCAGCAAUUUGCACAGGAAGCUUUGGGAGAUGUUGCUUUUGUAGGCUGCCUGAAAUUGAGGCAAAAUUCAAUAAGUGCCUUUGGUGCUUUGGAAAGUAUGAAAGCUGCUAGUGAGCUCCAUUCUCCUGGAUCAGAAGAAGUGUCUGGAAUUAGUGAAGCUCUUGCAGAAAAUCCAGGACUUGUCAACAAAUCUUGUUAUGAAGAUGGUUGGCUGAUCAAGAUGACACUGAGUAACCUUUCAGAACUAGAUGAAUCAAUGAGUGAAGAAGCAUAAGAAAUACAUAAAACCUAUUGAGAAGUGAAAAUGGAACCCUCUAAAUAAAGUAGCAUGAAACAACUGGACCUAGCAUGGUUUUCUUAAAUAUUAGUGGUGAAUAGAAGAUUAAAGAUAGCAACUUUUAGUGAUAUCAAUUGAAAAAGAUACAAGAAUGCUAUUGGAAGAAAAUACCCCUUAACUUUCUAAAAAUUGCAGAUAAACACAAUAUACUUUUUUUCACAACACCCGAUGGUUUUUAGGCAAGGCUACAGUUAUAAUAAUAUCAGAAUUCCUGAAAUUAUCUGUGGUAAAAUCUAGUUAUAAAAGUAAUAUAAUUCAAGGAUAACAUUGUUAUCUUAAGCCUUAUAUAAUGUUGUAACUUACUUAUAUCCAUAUCUGAUUUGGGUCAAAAUAAUGAUCUUUCCACUGGAAAUAACUGGCAGUGGAGAAGUUUUUGUUAGUUAUACAGUGUCAGAUGCCAAACAAUACUAUCUUAAUUUUGCCAUAGACUGAGUUUGCUGGUGCUAUUUUUAUACAGCGACAUAGCAGUCUCGUGGGAAAACAAGAAAGUUUAACAAUAAACAUUCAACUUCUUCAUUAAGUACAUAAAUAAAAGUGAAAGUGCAAAUUACCACUGUUAUUGUCUAUACCCCUUCCUGCUCUAUAUUCCUCCAUAGUACUACACCAUCUAGCAAACUGCCUAUUUUGACUGAUUUGCUUUAUUUUCUUUCCCCUUUUGAACGUAAGCAUCACGGAGGCAAGAAUUUUUGCAUGUUUCUUUUGCUGUGGUUUCCCCAGCAGCUAGGAGAGAGCCUGACACAUAGUAGGUGUUCAGCAAUGACUGGAUGAUGGGAGAGACACUGCUCCGAGGCUACAGAAUACCCGGUGGGAAUGUUCUCCUGCACGAGGCCACACACCUGCUGCUCCUUUCAGAGGACAUUAGGGAGUCAUCCCUUCCAUCUUUCAUCCGCACUUGGCUAUCCAGGUUGUGUUAGAAUUGCUCACUCAGGCACUUCUUCUCCAGAGGUUUAUGUCUUGAGAAUCAGGGCAAUGAAAUCGUAGACCCUGAGUGAGUUUGAGGCCUGAACAGCCGCUUCAGGGUUGGCAGCUCUGCCUUCUGGAACAGGCCUUCUCGCCCGCUGCACACAGCAGUCGCCUGAGGCCUGGUUAAAGUGCAGACUCGGACUCAGUGGAUCCAGUGGGGGCCAGAGUCCGCCUUUCUCACAAGCUUCCGAGCGAUGCUGCUGCUGAAUUGGGGUCGCAUCGUAAAUACCAAAAGGUUCUAGCGCAAACCUCUCCACAGGCGAACAUUAGAACGCUCCCUCCCCUCCCCAAUAUUGUAUUGGUUCCCAAACUCAUUUCAAAAGACCAGAGCUCUGGGGCUGGGUCUUGUUAAAGGCCCCGGGGCUUCCUGACUCUAUAAGCAGCAUCUGCCCCUGGAAGGCCCAGUCUUCAUUAGGGCUGCACCCCUCACGAGCCCUUCUCUCAGCCUUUCAGGGUCCCGGGCCCCUUCCAGGAAAUCUCUGGCCUCAUGCUUUCCCACCACUACCCACUUCCAGCUCUUUCACGUAAAACAAGCUUGGCUUUUCAGAGAAUACAGAGGCCGUCUAGUCUCAACAACCUCAACUUCCUUCUUCCCCCAGCAACUCCAAAUUACUUAACCUUCUCCACGUGCCCCCGGUCUCAGAGGAAGAGGUCGGGAAUUUCGUCUCUGCUCCGGCCUCCCCGGCGUCCUGCCCCAGCACUGGGUGGCUCUGACAUCUGACAUCGGGAUCUGACUGGCUGGAUGACCUCACCCAAGUUCCUCACCAGCACUAAGCCUCACCUUACUCAUCUCUAAAAUGGGGGUGAUGACAGUGUCUACGUCGAGGGUUGUGAGGAUGAAAGGAUGAAUAGGCGGGAACCGUUCAGAUAAGGCGUGAAGACAGCUGGAUUCUCACAUCUGUUUCUGCAUCUAAUCUGCUGGGAUAUGUUGUUUUGGUUGAGGUUGAGGAGUAUGAAGAAAAUCCAGCUCCACACAGAUACAGAGUUGGAAAGAAAGCAGCACUGUCAUAGCCUUUUCAGAUGAUUGGGCGUCUCCAUCUUCGAUGCGACUCUAAAACUCAUGAGCAGUGGUUCCUUAAAAGUCAGUUAGACGAUGAAAUCUGAAAACAGAUCAAUGAACUUUUCUUAUUCUGUUACAUUAAAACCUAUUGCUCCACCUUGUACCUUGAAUGGAUCUCUUACCCAUGCAUGAUUUUAUGUUAUUCAUUGGUCAUUUGGAAAAUGUUAGCUCAUGGAGCUAUGCAAACCUUCUAAAUGCUGACACAUUUCGUUAUGCAAUAUUAAAAAAGUCACAUUUGUGCUAUGCAUUGUAUGUAAUGAACUCUAGCUUCAACUCUGCUUUCAAUUCACUGUCUUUAAAAAGUGAUCUAAGCUUUUCUAGUCUCUAGUUUUUCCAUGUGUGAAAUGGGGGUGGUCAUUAUGCUUUCCUUUCAGGGUGUCUUGAGGAAGAAAAGAAGUAAUGGUGAUGAAUGCAUUUUGUGAAUAUUCAGGUGCGAUUUAAACAGGUGUAAGGGUUGAAAGAUUAGAAGAUUGUAUCCUUAUUGUCUCUUCUAAAAAAGCCCAGAUAUUAACAUUUGAAUAGAGUAAAAGCAAUGCUUAUAUCAUCAUUACUAUUCCUCUAUUUAUAAAAUAAUUGAUAUAAUAUUCACUUUUUGCCAUGGGGAUCAAUAAAAUAAUUUGCAUUUUGAGUGAACAAAGGAACACAUUUGGCCCAUUGACAUGUUUCUUUUUCUUGAACUGGCCCUUCUAGAAAAGCUGCUUUCACUGAUCAGUUCAGCAUGUUCAUUGUAUGGAUAAGGCAGCUGAGAACCAGAGUUCCAAGGACAUAUAUCAGGUGAAAGCCAGACUUCAGUCAAAGCCUUUAUCUUCUGGAGCCAAUGCUUGCUUCAUUAUUUUGUCUCUCAAAGUUCCAUUGGUAACAUUUUGAGUAUUUUCAGAUGGAGGAAGAGAA